rnacentral:rRNA from 1 species
ACCGACUGCGCAACGUUGAAUACACCAUUUUUCGUCCGAUCACUGAAGUUAAGCGACGUCGGGCGUGGACAGUGCUCGGAUGGCUGACCGCCUGUUAAGCGACGUCGGGCGUGGACAGUGCUCGGAUGGCUGACCGCCUGGGAGAUCACGUGUUGUUGGUU